AGUGAACGCUGGCGGUAGGCCUAACACAUGCAAGUCGAACGGCAGCACAGUAAGAGCUUGCUCUUACGGGUGGCGAGUGGCGGACGGGUGAGGAAUACAUCGGAAUCUACUUUUUCGUGGGGGAUAACGUAGGGAAACUUACGCUAAUACCGCAUACGACCUACGGGUGAAAGCAGGGGAUCUUCGGACCUUGCGCGAUUGAAUGAGCCGAUGUCGGAUUAGCUAGUUGGCGGGGUAAAGGCCCACCAAGGCGACGAUCCGUAGCUGGUCUGAGAGGAUGAUCAGCCACUCUGGAACUGAGACACGGCCCAGACUCCUACGGGAGGCAGCAGUGGGGAAUCUUGGACAAUGGGCGCAAGCCUGAUCCAGCCAUACCGCGUGGGUGAAGAAGGCCUUCGGGUUGUAAAGCCCUUUUGUUGGGAAAGAAAAGCAGCAGGUUAAUACCCCGCUGUCCUGACGUUCCCCAAAGAAUAAGCACCGCCUACCUUCGU
rnacentral:rRNA from 1 species